CAGACCCCAGUCACCGCGGGAGUGGGUGGGGGAUAACCCUCCGGUGCUGCAACCCAGUCCCGCCCCCACCCAACCAGCUCACCACCUCCCAGGCACAACGGAGCCUGCGCAAGACGCGGGGACACAAAUGAUCCGGCCCCCAACUCCUGGGGGCUUCAGUCCCGCCCCCUCUGCCUCCCCAGGGCACAGCAGCGCUCCUGAAGUCGGCGUCCGCCCUCCCCUAGCCCCACUGUCAAUACAAUCGCUUUAAGAAAAAGUCGGAUACGUGCCGUCAGCCUCUCCCUUGCCCGUCCAGCCUGGGAGGCACCCACACCUGCGCCCUCACUAGCCCAGUCUUUACCUGUGCCGUCCCCCUCGGCGCCUGCAGCCGCGCCGGAAGAACAAAAACAAAAGCUAACACUUUUUUGAGCGUUUGCUUUGUGCCCGAUACUAUCAAAGAACUGUGUAUGAAUUAUGUCCUCGCGGCAACUCUCAGGGCCUGCUUCCAACUUCAGAAGCUGAAAGGGCCAUAUCCUCCUUCUCCCUGCCCCUGAGAGCUGAGGCUCCACUAAUGGGAUCUUUGACUCUCAAGAGGAAAACCAUAGAUGCUAUAUGGGGCUGUAGAACUUCUAUGUGCCCAUGAAUGCCUCUGCUUCCAGCUGUGGUAUUGCGAGGCCUCAGCCCACGCGUGCUUUGGACUGAGGAGCAAGCCAAAGCCUGGUGUGGCUGUACCUGGGAUACUCAUCUUUCUGGCCAGGGUGACAGUCUGCCCUGGCAAGCACUUGAGUUCAAGUUCACCACUCAAGUAUAAGCAAAGCAACAACAUGACAACACGAGACUAAGGGAACACUUACAGCUUUUGCAUUUGCUGUUCCCUCUGCCUGGAAAACUCUUCUCCCAAGUCUUCUCAUGGCUGGCUCCAUCUUAUUAUUCAGACUUCAGCUCAUUUGUUGCUCCCCUUAGAGAAGCCUUCUCAGAACACUCCACAGCUGUCUGAGGCUGUGCAGUCUGUGCAUCACAAAGCAUUGUGAGUGGGGCUGAAGUCUGGCCCACGCUCUGCUCAUCAAGGAUUUCACAGGAGAAAGGCUUUGAAGGGCUAGCAGAGACCUUGGACAUUGUUUCUAAAUUAGCAUCCUUCCCCCUCCCUCACUCUCUCACAUUGUCUGCUUUUGUCUU
rnacentral:lncRNA from 1 species